rnacentral:rRNA from 1 species
GAUGAACGCUGGCGGCGUGCCUAAUACAUGCAAGUCGAGCGAACGGACGAGAAGCUUGCUUCUCUGAUGUUAGCGGCGGACGGGUGAGUAACACGUGGAUAACCUACCUAUAAGACUGGGAUAACUUCGGGAAACCGGAGCUAAUACCGGAUAAUAUUUUGAACCGCAUGGUUCAAAAGUGAAGGACGGUCUUGCUGUCACUUAUAGAUGGAUCCGCGCUGCAUUAACUAGUUGGUAAGGUAACGGCUUACCAAGGCAACGAUGCAUAGCCGACCUGAGAGGGUGAUCGGCCACACUGGGACUGAGACACGGUCCAGACUCCUACGGGAGGCAGCAGUAGGGAAUCUUCCGCAAUGGGCGAAAGCCUGACGGAGCAACGCCGCGUGAGUGAUGAAGGUCUUCGGAUCGUAAAACUCUGUUAUUAGGGAAGAACAUAUGUGUAAGUAACUGUGCACAUCUUGACGGUACCUAAUCAGAAAGCCACGGCUAACUACGUG